rnacentral:rRNA from 1 species
AGCGCACCCUUCGGGGCGAGCGGCGGACGGGUUAGUAACGCGUGGGAACGUACCCAGAUCUACGGAAUAGCCUCGGGAAACUGAGAGUAAUACCGUAUACGCCCUUCGGGGGAAAGAUUUAUCGGAUUUGGAUCGGCCCGCGUUAGAUUANAUAGUUGGUGGGGUAACNGGCCUACCAAGUCUACGAUCUAUAGCUGGUUUUAGAGGAUGAUCAGCAACACUGGGACUGAGACACGGCCCAGACUCCUACGGGAGGCAGCAGUGGGGAAUCUUAGACAAUGGGCGAAAGCCUGAUCUAGCGAUGCCGCGUGAGUGAUGAAGGCCUUAGGGUCGUAAAGCUCUUUCGCCAGGGAUGAUAAUGACAGUACCUGGUAAAGAAACCCCGGCUAACUCCGUGCCAGCAGCCGCGGUAAUACGGAGGGGGUUAGCGUUGUUCGGAAUUACUGGGCGUAAAGCGCACGUAGGCGGACCGAAAAGUUGGGGGUGAAAUCCCGGGGCUCAACCCCGGAACUGCCUCCAAAACUGCCGGUCUAGAGUUCGAGAGAGGUGAGUGGAAUUCCGAGUGUAGAGGUGAAAUUCGUAGAUAUUCGGAGGAACACCAGUGGCGAAGGCGGCUCACUGGCUCGAUACUGACGCUGAGGUGCGAAAGUGUGGGGAGCAAACAGGAUUAGAUACCCUGGUAGUCCACACCGUAAACGAUGAAUGC